UACGGGGGGGGCUAGCGUUGCUCGGAAUCACUGGGCGUAAAGCGCACGUAGGCGGAUUGUUAAGUCAGGGGUGAAAUCCUGGAGCUCAACUCCAGAACUGCCUUUGAUACUGGCGAUCUCGAGUCCGGGAGAGGUGAGUGGAACUGCGAGUGUAGAGGUGAAGAUUCGUAGAUAUUCGCAAGAACACCAGUGGCGAAGGCGGACUC
rnacentral:rRNA from 1 species